AAUGAACGCUGGCGGCAGGCCUAAAACAUGCAAGUCGAGCGCCCUAGCAAUAGGGAGCGGCGCACGGGUGAGUAACACGUGGGAAUAUGCCUUUUGGUACGGAACAACGUUUGGAAACGAACGCUAAUACCGUAUGGUCCCUUCGGGGUAAAGAUUUAUCGCCAAAAGAUUAGCCCGCGUUAGAUUAGCUAGUUGGUAGGGUAAUGGCCUACCAAGGCGACGAUCUAUAGCUGGUCUGAGAGGACGAUCGAGCCACACGUGGGACUGAGACACCGGCCCAGACUCCGUACGGGAGGCAGCUAGUUAGGAAUUAUUGGACAAGUGGGCGACAA
rnacentral:rRNA from 1 species